AGAACGAACGCUGGCGGCGUGGAUAAGACAUGCAAGUCGAACGCGACUUAUCUGGUUAGCAAUAACUAGGUAAGUUGAGUGGCGAAAGGGUGCGUAACACGUGGGAAUCUACCAAGAAGUGGGGAAUAGCUCGGCGAAAGCCGAAUUAAUACCGCAUGUGAUCGAAAGAUCAAAGUCGGGGACCGCAAGGCCUGACGCUUUUUGAGGAGCCCGCGGCCCAUCAGCUAGUUGGCUGGGUAAAAGCCCACCAAGGCUAUGACGGGUAGCUGGUCUGAGAGGACGACCAGCCACACUGGAACUGAGACACGGUCCAGACACCUACGGGUGGCAGCAGUCGAGAAUUUUUUCACAAU
rnacentral:rRNA from 1 species